AUUUACUUGUUGUCGUCAUCAACUUUUGUCUUCUGUCAAACGGGACUGUUUCUAUUGGAGAGCCCUUCAGAGAAUACCAGGAAGUCCAGGUCUCAAUGGGACUCGGCACGCUAUCUGCAGCUGUCUGGGCAAUGCUAAAUGGAGAUGACCUCUGUGGAUUCACUUCAUCUUCGACAUCAUCAGCUCCAGAUAACAUUGAAAUUCCUUUACCGCAAUCAAUGUCAGGAACUGGGAAUGUCGCUUUGCGGCGUGACCCCAAGGAUGCAGACGG